AGAGUUUGAUCCUGGCUCAGGAUGAACGCUAGCGGCAGGCUUAAUACAUGCAAGUCAAGGGGGUAGCAAUACAACCGGCGCACGGGUGAGUAACGCGUACACAACAUACCAUAUACUGGGGUAUAGCUUUGGGAAACUGAAGGUAAUCCCCCAUAACAUUGCGAAAGGGCAUCUGAUUGCAAUUAAAGUUUCGGCGGUAUAUGAUUGGUGUGCGUUUGAUUAGCUAGUUGGUAGGAUAACGGCCUACCAAGGCGACGAUCAAUAGCUGGCGUGAGAGCGCGACCAGCCACACUGGAACUGAGACACGGUCCAGACUCCUACGGGAGGCAGCAGUAGGGAAUAUUGGACAAUGGAGGAAACUCUGAUCCAGCCAUGCCGCGUGAUAGAUGAAGGCCCUCUGGGUUGUAAAUAUCUUCUAUCUGGGAAGAAACACUCCUAUUCUUAGGAACUUGACGGUACCAGAGGAAUAAGCACCGGCUAACUCCGUG
rnacentral:rRNA from 1 species